GCGGGUAUGGUUUAGUGGUAGAACCUCAGCCUUCCAAGCUGAUGGCGCGGGUUCGACCCCCGCUACCCGCUCCA
rnacentral:tRNA from 1 species